rnacentral:lncRNA from 1 species
AGCCAAUGUGAGGACCCCUGUAUAUGCUGAGCUCUACGGAAAAUUAAGCAAAAUAGAGAGGUACAGCAUUUAGAAAUGCUAGCAGUGGGGUAAAGAAAAGAUCAUGGGAUUUGGGAUUGCACAGAGUCCAGUGGUGCACUGAUUUUGCUGAUUAAACUGAUAAAUAAUGAACUCAAAAUGUUUUAGGCAGCUGUUAGUGUCAGAGAUCAGAUUAAUCUUCAGCAUGAAAGAGAGAAGAUAUUCAAGUUUACAGCACUCCGGAGCAGGAUUUGAAUAAAAUAGACGAAAGGCUUUUGACUUCAAUGAAUUAUAGAAGUGGACAGAGACAUUUUUUAUGUGUGACCCACUGCUGAUGGAAGUUAAAGUGAUAUCCCUGUAGAAGACAUGAAAAACUCUUCUCUAUGGCUCCUGGAUGCUUACAUAACGUUCAAUUAUGCAUAAUAUCAACACUCGUGUUUCAAGACUUUUGGGAAGACUAAUAACAAGGAAAAGAGGGGGAAGAGGGCAGGGAGGGAAGAAAGAAGAGAUUUCCCAUAGAAAUAAAUUGAUUGCAUUGUACUGAGCAUUGG